AAGUUAUUUAGCUUAAAUAAAGCAUAUAUUUUGAAAAUAUGGGAUAGAGUUAAUUUAAUAACUUA
rnacentral:tRNA from 1 species